rnacentral:tRNA from 1 species
GCGGAACGGCAGACGCACUCGACUCAAAAUCGAGCGGGAAACCAUGUGGGUUCAAAUCCCAC